CUUGUACUUUCAAGAGCGCCCCAGCUCUGAGAGCCUUCCUUUCUGCCUCCUCACUGGCCACAGCUCUACCCUGGAGACCUCAAGGCCAUUGGCCACCUCUGCACCCAGUGCCCUCUCCUUCCAUAGGACUGGGCAGGAUGAACAGCUGAAAUCCUGGAAGAGGAGGAGGGAGGCAUCAGGAGGUAUGAAGGAGAGAGCAGCUCUGCACCAGCUUGUUGCUGCUCAUAUCUGCUUGUCAGAGAACCUAAGUAGCCACUGUGCCUCACCUGAUGGAAGGCAAAGCAGUAUCAAAGGUUUUCAUCCUAGAAGCAGGGAG
rnacentral:lncRNA from 1 species